rnacentral:lncRNA from 1 species
UUCCGGUUAUCGGUUAUGAGUGACCGAUGAUAGAUCUGUUCUUCUGUUCUCCAGGUGAACCGCGAGGUCAAGAACACUUUUCGAAGUAAAACGGACCGCAAGAUCUGGAGCAGUUGUGAACCGCGAGGUCACGAACACUUUUCGAAGUAAAACGGACCGCAAGAUCUGGAGCAGUUGUCAAGAAGAAUAACAGAUUCUGUGAGUAUCCCAAUUGAACCAUGAAGAAGAAACUGCGAACUGUAAGUCCAGAUUUUUCCUUUUUCGGGUAGAAUUUUGGCAUCCUGUUUGGUCUGAUUGGUUAGGGUUAAUGGGUGCACAUUGAUAAAGUUAAAAGUAGUGCAGUAU